rnacentral:lncRNA from 1 species
UGUUAAGGAGGCUUGCAUAGAAAAAAAGGAAACCAAAAUAUUUAAGGACUGGUUUUAGCAUUAAUUACAUAAUUUAUAAAUUAUCUUACAUAGUUAUGAAUUCUGAACAAUUCUGAAGGGCCUAAUCCACUUAGCCCUUAACUCUGCUAACAUGCAGGUCUACUUAUCUAUAAAGAGAGGCAACAAUUUGAACAUUGCUAUGGACAUCUGUAGACAUCUUUCAGUGGGAAGCUGAAAAAUUUUCACUAUAGGAAGACAUUACCAUUUCUGGCAAUGGUCAGAUCACCAGAUUCCAGGGGGAGGUCAGGUCCAUGCUCUUUCUACUGCAUCCUGCUGACAAGAAGGGAAAGUGUGGGAACUGAUGGAGGUUCAGCAGGCUCUGUUGUCAGCCCAACAAAAGCACCAAAGAAGUUUCCUGGCUGACAUUUUACUACAUCAUCACGUACGGCGAACUGGAUUGUGAAUGCCCUUAGAUGCCAUUGGAAGGGAUUUAGAUUUCACUUUCUAAGUAGGCAAUGCGAGUCCAUUCAGAGAUUGUGAAGUGGAAGAAUAUCAUGAUCAGAUCUGUGUGGCUGAUGAAUAGAGACAAAUCUGAUGUCUGGGGUUAUAUUAUUGAG